ACUGCACCUAGAGGUGUUGCAGGCGUGGCUGCUGUGUCACAUGUGCGUCAGAAGGUGGCAGAGAGGAGAGAGGCUAUGCCUAUGCUGUGUUCUGACCUGUGAGCAUCUGAAUGCUAGAAGCCUAACAUU